rnacentral:lncRNA from 8 species
GUCAGAGGAGAGGAGUCAGAGGAGAGGGGUCAGAGGAGUCAGAGGAGAGGGGUCAGAGGAGAGGAGUCAGAGGAGAGGAGUCAGAGGAGUCAGAAGAGAGGAGUCAGAGGAGUCAGAGGAGAGGGGUCAGAGAAGUCAGAGGAGAAGGGUCAGAGGAGUCAGAGGAGAGGAGUCAGAGGAGAGGGGUCAGAGGAGAGGGGUCAGAGGGGGAGAGGAGUCAGAGGAGAGGAGUCAGAGGAGAGGAGUCAGAGGAGAGGAGUCAGAGGAGUCAGAGGAGAGGGGUCAGAGGAGAGGAGUCAGAGGAGAGGAGUCAGAGGAGUCAGAAGAGAGGAGUCAGAGGAGUCAGAGAAGAGGGGUCAGAGGAGAGGGGUCAGAGGAGAGGGGUCAGAGAGAGGGGUCAGAAGAGUCAGAGGAGAGGGGUCAGAGGAGGAGUCAGAGGAGAAGAGUCAGAGGAGUCAGAGGAGAGGAGUCAGAGGAGUCAGAGGAGAGGAGUCAGAGGAGAGGAGUCAGAGGAGAGGAGUCAGAGGAGAGGAGUCAGAGGAGUCAGAGGAGAGGGGUCAGAGGAGAGGGGUCAGAGGAGUGGGGUCAGAGGAGUCAGAGGAGAGGGGUCAGAGGAGAGGGGUCAGAGGAGUCAGAGGAGAGGGGUCAGAAGAGAGGAGUCAGAGGAGAGGAGUCAGAGGAGAGGGGUCAGAGGAGAGGAGUCAGAGGAGAGGGGUCAGAAGAGUCAGAGGAGAGGGGUCAGAGGAGAGGAGUCAGAGGAGAGGAGUCAGAGGAGUCAGGGAAAAGGAGUCAGAGGAGAGGGGUCAGAGGAGAGGGGUCAGAGGAGAAGAGUCAGAGGAGAGGGGUCAGAGAAGAGGAGUCAGAGGAUGGGGUCACAGGAUAGGGGUCAGAGGAGUCAGAGGAGAGGGGUCAGAGAAGAGGAGUCAGAGGAGAGGAGUCAGAGAAGAGGGGUCAGAGGAGAGGGGUCAGAGGAGUCAGAGGAGAGGGGUCAGAGGAGAGGGGUCAGAAGAGUCAGAGGAGAGGGGUCAGAGGAGAGGAGUCAGAGGAGAGGGGUCAGAGGAGUCAGAGGAGAGGGGUCAGAGGAGAGGAGUCAGAGGAGAGGGGUCAGAGGAGAGGGGUCAGAGGAGUCAGAGGAGAGGGGUCAGAGGAGAGGGGUCAGAGGAGUCAGAGGAGAGGGGUCAGUGGAGUCAGAGGAGAGGGGUCAGAGGAGAGGAGUCAGAGGAGACAUGGUGUUUGCAACGCCAGGGUUGUGGGUUCGAUUCCCACGGGGGGCCAGUACAGAAAAAAAAAUGUAUGAAAUGUAUGAACUUGUAUGAAAUGUAUGCAUUCACUACUGUAAGUCGCUCUGGAUAAGAGCGUCUGCUAAAUGACGUAAAUGUUUAAAAAAAAUGUUAAAAAAGAGUCAGAGGAGAGGGGUCAGAGAGGAGGAGUCAGAGGAGAGGAGUCAGAGAAGAGGGGUCAGAGGAGAGGAGUCAGAGGAGAGGAGUCAGAGAAGAGGGGUCAGAGGAGAAGAGUCUUCCCUGUAGCUCAGUUGGUAGAGCAUGGUGUUUGUAACGCCAGGGUUGUGGGUUCGAUUCCCACGGGGGGCCAGUACGAAUUUUUCUUUUUUUUAUGUAUGAAAUGAAAAUGAAAUGAAAUGUAUGCAUUCACUACUGUAAGUCGCUCUGGAUAAGAGCGUCUGCUAAAUGACUAAAAUGUAAAUGUAAAAAUUUGUCAGAGAAAAGGGGUCAGAGGUAUUAUCCAGAUGGUAACUUCAGAUGAUCGACUGACCCCAUUACUCUCCUCUCUGUGUCUGUCUAUUGAUUUCCACAGACCCACACAGUCUCCCUCACCUUCCUCUGUGUGAGCCUCUGUCUGUUGAGCAGGAACACAGCAUUGUCCACCACGACCAGACUGACCAUGGCUCCUGGGUCUCCUCUCACCUGGAAGUUGAACCCUCUCCCUGGGUGGUAGUACUCUAAGGGCCUGGAGCCAGCUGGACCAACACUCAACUGCGGGGGGUGAGUGAGUGAGUGAGUGAGUGAGUGAGUGAGUGAGUGAGUGAGUGAGUGAGUGAGUGAGUGAGUGAGUGAGUGAGAGAGAGAGAGAGAGAGAGAGAGAGAAACUCACUAGUGCAAAAUUUCAAUUGGCUAUAUUAAAACUGUUUAAUUUGAUCCUGAGUGUAGGUUACUUCCCUACCAUCUGGAAUCAAGGACUCAUAACCCCAAAACAUCGCACAACUGAUCAUAUUUACACCCUACACACCCUGAUAGAUAAACAUGUCCACCAAAAUAUACGCUUGCUUUAUCGACUUCCAAAAAACAUUUGAUUAUAUUUGGCAUACAAGACUGUUCUACAAAGUUAUUGAAAGUGGUGUAGGGGGUAAAACAUAUGACAUAAUUAAAUCAAUGUAUACUGGCAAUACGUGCAGCAUUAAAAUUGGUAAGAAAAGAACAGAAUUUUUCAACCAGGAGCGGGGCCUUCGCCAGGGUUGCAAUCUGAGCCCUGCACUCUUCAAUAUUUACAUUAACGAAUUGGCCACUAUUCUAGAAAAAUCCUCAACCACUGGUGUUAGUCUCCACAAUUCAGAAGUUAAAUGCCUACUCUUCACAGAUGACCUAUGCCUGCUGUCACCCACAGCACAUGGCCUACAGCAGAGCCUGGACCUGCUAGAGCAGUACUGCCAGACCUGGGCCCUGGCAGUAAACCCCAAAAAGACUAAAAUAAUGAUUUUCCAGAGAAGAUCCAGAUCUCAGGGAAUUAGACCAAAGUUCUCAAUUGGUACAAAAUAUAUAGAGUACUGUACACAAUACAAUUACUGAGGUUUAAAAAUAAGGUCAACUGGACACCUUAAUAAUGCAGUGAAUGAACUGAGAGAGAAAGCACACAGGGCAUUCUACGCCAUUAAAAAGCAAAUUCAAAUUGAAAUACCUAUUAAAAUUUUGCUAAAACUAAUUGAAUAUGUCAUUGAACCAAUUGCACUCUAUGGCAGCGAGGUGUGGGGUCCAUUUGCAAAACAAGAUUUCAUCAAAUGGGACAAACACCCCACUGAAACCCUGCAUGCAGAGUUCUGUAAGAUUCUCCUACAUGUCCAGAGAAAAACUACAAACAAUGCAUGCAGGGCAGAAUUAGGCCAAUAUCCACUAAAAAUAAAAACUCAAAAAAGCUAUUAAGUUUUGAAAACAUCUAAAAUACAGUGACCCCCUCUCAUAUCAUUACCAAGCCCUGCAAUGCCAAGAUCUGAGCAAAGAAAAGAGUCCCCUCAUCCAGGUGGUCCUGGGGCUGAGUUCAGUGUGUUAGUAGAACAGGUUUGUGAAGCCUCAGGACCAGAACAUCCAAUCAAUCAAAAUAAACCAAAUUACAACACAGUCAAAACAAAACUACAUUGCUUAUUGGGAAACACAAGCACAAACACAAAGCAAAAUGCAGUGCUAUCUGGCCCUAAAUCGACAGUACACCAUGGCUAACUAUUUGACCAUGGUUACUGAUCAAAACCUUAGAAAAACCUUGACAGGGUACAGGCUCAGUGAGCACAGCCUUGCCAUUGAGAAGGGUCGACACAGGAAAACCUGUCUCCCUGUAGAGGAAAGGCUGUGCAACCACUGCACCACAGCAGAACCUGAGACGGAGCUGCAUUUCCUGACAAAAUGUCAAAAAUAUAUAACAAUUAGAGAGUGUCAUGUUCCCAAAUUUGAAACCCUUAUUAAAGGUUUCAAAGACCUCUCUGACGAGAGUAGGCUACCCGUCCUGUUGGGGGAGGUAAGCAGAGAGCUGUGGGUUGGCAGCGCACUACAUUGCUGCCUGGCAUAAGUUGAGGGACAGUGUCUGACAGACCAAUCAACCUGCACAUGUCCUCUACUGUAUGCUUAUUGUUAUUGUUCAAUGUAUGGUUAUUUUGACCCUUGGUUAUUGUUGUUACUGUUGUCCUGUUGACAAUUUUGAUUCUCAUUUGUAUUUAUAUUGUAAAUAUCCAAAAUAAGCUUUGGCAAUAUGUACAUUGUUAUGUCAUGCCAAUAAAGCGAAUUGAAAUUGAAGAGAGAGAGAGUGAGAGCGAGAAUGAUAUUUGAAAUGUCUUUUUUCCAUUUGGAUCUUCUGUGAGUGUAAUGUUUACUGUUAAUUUGUAUUGUUAAUUUCACUUUUGUUUGUUAUCUACUUCACUUGCUUUGGCAAUGUUAACAUAUGUUUCCCAUGCCAAUAAAGCCCUUAAAUGGAAUUGAAAUGAGAGGAAAGAUAGUGGAACAUGAGAAGCUGGUAGUUGAACCCUUUCCCUGGGUGGUAGUACUGUACUCUGGGGGCCUGGAGCCAGCUGGGGGGAGAAGGGUGAGUUGUUUUGGAUUAGUUCAUCUAACACGCCAUAGGUCUGUCAUCACCAUGACGUAACCAAUCAGGUCCUUCCAAACCAACUGUACUGAAGGAUAUAGGAGAGAGGACAAAGAAAAUAUGACUUUGUCCAAACAUGACAGUUUGCUUUCGUCUGUACAAUCAACACUAAUCAGUGAUUAUGUCAAAGCAGGAGGGAAGGUAUCAAGGAAGAAAUUAAGGUUGUAUUUGAACAUUAAACAUAUCCUGGGUUGUCCAGUCCACUCACCGACCCAACACAGGCAUCCUCCACAUCCACCCACACAGAAUCAGCCACCACCUCUGAAAUCCCCGCCCACGGCAGCAUGUAGAAUGCCACAACGCGAAAUGAGGGCAUCAUCUCCGUGCUAACGGUCAACAGAACGUUGGUCACGUCCUGACCUCCGACCUCUAGUCUCUUGGCAACGAUGAUUUUGCCCUUGUUCAACACCUGUAGGAGUUUCAGACACACUUCAUUUUUUUCACAAAAUAUUUAUUUUGGUGACAGACAAAGGUACAUUAUGAAGACAGAGCUACAACUGUGUAAAUGUGUAAGCUAUAUACUGUACCACCAAAUGGUAGAAAAUAUAAAUAUAAAUAUACAGGGGUAUCUCGAAAACACUUGAUUUUGGAUUGUAAAAAAUCUGGACCAUUUCAGUUUGCACUCAUCAGCUGUUCAAUUCAAUUGUAUGCUACUCCAUUCUACUAUAUCCACUCAUCAGCUGUUCAAUUCAGUUGUAUGCUACUCCAUUCUACUAUAUCCACUCACCAGCUGUUCAAUUCAGUUGUAUGCUACUCCAUUCUACUAUAUCCACUCACCAGCUGUUCAAUUCAGUUGUAUGCUACUCCAUUCUACUAUAUCCACUCACCAGCUGUUCAAUUCAGUUGUAUGCUACUCCAUUCUACUUUAUCCACUCACCAGCUGUUCAAUUCAGUUGUAUGCUACUCCAUUCUACUUUAUCCACUCACCAGCUGUUCAAUUCUGUUGUAUGCUACUCCAUUCUACUAUAUCCACUCACCAGGUAUGUCAGGUGAGUGACAAGUUUUCUGUGGGCCUUGUCGGCAGUGUUGAUGUGUAGACUGAGGCCAAGGCUCUGCCCCAGAGAGACUGUGGUGGUCCCAGUGGAGAUAUACAGGUAGUUCUGUCUCUGCCGGUCAAAGGGUGUGUAGGGGUGAAGGGUCAUCUGCUGUUUGGCCUGCUGCUCUGGCUGUAGGCCCGUCUGUUUGGUCUCAGCCUGUGUGUUUAGGAUUUACAGACACACACAUGAAAACAAAGACACACACACAUGCUCGCACAGCCAUACACAGAUACACACACGUACACACAUAUAUGGCCACACACACAGGUACACAGAAACAGACACUAAGAACUGAUAGUUGUUAUAACUGCUUAGGGCAUUACUGAGGGUGGAUAUAGCUGGUUAUACUUGAUUAUAAGCACCAUUAGCUCUACUGAGUGUGAUUAUAGAAGGUUAUAGCGGGUUAUAGCUGGUUAUAAGCCCUGUUAGGGGUACUUACAGUGAUGGUCUGCGGGUGUAUCUCAGUAAGCAUGUUAUUAUAACUGGUUAUAAGCACUUAUAGCUGGUUAUAAGCACCAUUAGCUCUAGUGAGGGUGGUUAUAGCAGGUUAUAACAGGUUAUAGCUGGUUAUAAGCCCUGUUAGCGGUACUCACAGUGAUGAUCUGAGGGCCUAGCUCAGCAGGCAUGUUGAUGGCGGCCCUGAUGGUGCCACGGUGGCUGGUGAUUGGGUUGGCCAGGAGGCUCACCUGGACCGGGACGUUAUGAGCCGGGGAACCAUCCUGGAAACCCACCU